rnacentral:rRNA from 1 species
GGGUGCGAUCAAAUCAGCGUUAAUGCACCGGAUCCCAUCAAAACUCCGCAGUUAAGUGCGCUUGGGCUAGAGUAGUACUGGGAUCGGUGACCUCCCGGGAAGUCGUAGUGUUGCACCCU